UUUCCGGUUGAUCCUGCCGGAGGCCACUGCUAUCGGAGUCCGACUAAGCCAUGCGAGUCUUGGUAGGCUUUGCCUACCGGCGGACGGCUCAGUAACACGUGGACAACCUGCCCUCGGGAGGGGGAUAACCCCGGGAAACUGGGAAUAAACCCCCAUAGGUCACGGAUGCUGGAAGGCGCCGUGACCGAAAUUCCGAAAGGAGCCCGAGGAUGGGUCUGCGGCCUAUCAGGUUGUAGUGGGGGUAACGGCCCCACUAGCCUACGACGGGUACGGGCCCUGAGAGGGGGAGCCCGGAGAUGGACACUGAGACACGGGUCCAGGCCCUACGGGGCGCAGCAGGCGCGAAACCUCCGCAAUGCGGGCAACCGCGACGGGGGGACCCCCAGUGCCGUGGCAACGCCACGGCUUUUCCGGAGUGUAAAAAGCUCCGGGAAUAAGGGCUGGGCAAGGCCGGUGGCAGCCGCCGCGGUAAUACCGGCGGCCCGAGUGGUGGCCGCUAUUAUUGGGCCUAAAGCGUCCGUAGCCGGGCCUGUAAGUCCCUGGCGAAAUCCCACGGCUCAACCGUGGGGCUUGCUGGGGAUACUGCAGGCCUUGGGACCGGGAGAGGCCGGGGGUACUCCUGGGGUAGGGGUGAAAUCCUAUAAUCCCAGGAGGACCGCCAGUGGCGAAGGCGCCCGGCUGGAACGGGUCCGACGGUGAGGGACGAAGGCCAGGGGAGCGAACCGGAUUAGAUACCCGGGUAGUCCUGGCUGUAAAGGAUGCGGGCUAGGUGUCGGGCGAGCUCCGAGCUCGCCCGGUGCCGCAGGGAAGCCGUUAAGCCCGCCGCCUGGGGAGUACGGCCGCAAGGCUGAAACUUAAAGGAAUUGGCGGGGGAGCACUACAAGGGGUGGAGCGUGCGGUUUAAUUGGAUUCAACGCCGGGA
rnacentral:rRNA from 1 species